UCCGUAGGUGAACCUGCGGAAGGAUCAUUGUCGAAUCCUAGAGAGCAUGACCGAGGACAUGUAAAUUAAUCGGGUAAGCGUCGGGCUGCCCAUCGGGCUGUUCGUCGCCCCCGCCCGGCCUGUCCGUGGGCUUGUGCCCCCGGCCGUCCGGUCCCAACGAACCCCGGCGCGAACAGCGCCAAGGAACCAUGAACGGAUGAGCUUGUCCAUGCGGUCCGACCUCGGGCCGCGUGGGACGAAGGUCUAUCAAAUACAAUAACGACUCUCGGCAACGGAUAUCUCGGCUCUCGCAUCGAUGAAGAACGUAGCGAAAUGCGAUACUUGGUGUGAAUUGCAGAAUCCCGUGAACCAUCGAGUCUUUGAACGCAAGUUGCGCCCGAAGCCAUUAGGCCGAGGGCACGUCUGCCUGGGCGUCACGUAUUGUGUUGCCCCCAUCCAUAUGCGCGUGGGGAGCGGAGCUUGGCCUCCCGUGAGCUCCAACUCGCGGAUGGCUUAAAAACGAGCCUCGGGACGGCGAUGACGUCGCGACAAGUGGUGGUCAGGAGGCCUUCUGAGCCUGAGAGCUUUGCGAGUCGCGCGUCUGAUCCUACUCAUGCCCGGAGAUUAACCCGAAUGGGGCGUCCCUGACGCCGCCAGCAUCGCGACCCCAGGUCAGGCGGGACUACCCGCUGAGUUAA
rnacentral:rRNA from 1 species